GAGCCCACAGCUACUGGCUGAAAGAGUGCUUUCUUUUCUCUGCUCUUCCUGGGGAUCUGAAAGUUCCUCCUAACAGGCACGUCUUCUGGGGGCUUAGGGAGAGGGGGAGGCCCCCCCGACACGUCGCUGGGCGGCGGCUGUUGGUCGUGUGCCGUUGGGAUGCUGCUCCUGCGCUGGCUGCUGCUAGUCAUGCUGGGGCUUGGGGGGACCUCGUCCUCUGCAGCUACUGCAGCCACCAGCAGCGCCUCCUCAGAGCGUCCGCCAUUUUGUGUGGUGUCCUCGGCGGCUCCCGCACUAUUGCUCUCCACCCCGAGGAGGCCCGUGCCGCUCUUCUCCGUCCGCUGAUGCUGCUCGGGUUCCAUCUCGCCGCCACCGGAGAUCGCGGCAUCCGUCAUUCUCUCCUAUCGGCGAAAAGCGAGCGCAAUAGCUCGCGCCUUCUCCUCCUCGCCCACCACGCUACCCCCGCCCGGCUCCAUGCAGCGCCCGCCGCGGCUACUGCUCCCCCUCCGUCCGCUCGCUUUAUGGCAGCCCCGGCGCCCCCUCCCCGCUCUCUAACAUGGCGGCAGCCAAAACGGAAGGGGGGCGGAGCCAACGCCCGUGGCGCCAGUUAGAAGCGGCGGGGCCGGCACAGGGCCGCGCGGGGACCGCCGCCUCCUCGGGCCGCGGCUGGCGACGGGCGGGGUGGUGCCGUUUCCCCGUGAGGCCGCUGCUUCGGCUUCGCAGCUGCGACUGAAACGGUGGCAGCGCCCCGCCGUCUGCUGCUGGUGGCGCUCAGCAGAAAGAAAAGGAUCAGUGUGUUAAGAGAGCCCAAUCUCGCUUCUUCUCAAAUUCUGAACAAAAUGGCUGCCACGCCCUUGUUGAUAAAAACUCAGUAGCGGUGGUCAAUACUGACGUUUUUUUCUCGCCUCUGUGCUCCAUUUGAAAUAGGCAGUUUAUUUGGGGAGGUCUUCAUUAUGAAAAUAUGCAUUAGAUGAAUCUGUUGUAUUCAGAAUGGCGGGAUCCUGUUAUCUCACAACUUAAGACCUGGCCUAUUUAUCACGUGAUGCCUACUAGGAGCAUUAAUAACUACAAGAACAAUCUUAUAGUUCUGUUCUGUGGGUUGAUUAUACCUGGGUGCAUUGGUGUUAGCUCGGUCAUCCUUCAUAAUGGAAAACCUGGAAAACUUGGAGAGAGCUCAACAUUACCACUUUGCAGCAUUGCUUCCCAGAAUUGGUGAAGUAAUUCACGGCUUUAAAAUCACAUAAUUUCAAAUAUAGAAUACAAGUCUAGUCUAAAGAAAACUCUGAGUUUUUUCAUCUCUUGUGUGCUUACUCAGGAGCUGUGAAUGUAUUUUCAUUGUCAUGUUACCUAACGUAAGAUUUACUCUGUCCUGGUGGGGCCACAUCUGGAAUACUGUGUCCAGUUCUGAGCUCACCUGUUCAAAAAAGAAGGGAUCUCUUACGAAGAGUCCAGCACAGUGUGAUAGAACAAGGAGCAGUGGCCAAAAAUGGACCGUAGGAAAUUCCACACAAAUACGUGGAAAAACUUAUUUACAAUAAAGGUGACACAGUGCUGGAACAGGCUGCCCAGAAAGGUUGUGGAGUCUCCUUCUUAGAAGAUAUUCAAGACCCAGCUGGAUGCCUACCUGUGCAACCUACUGUAGGGAAUAUGCUUUAGCAGGAGGUUGGACUCUGUUAUCUCUAGAGGUCCCUUCCAGCCCCUGCAAUUCUGUGAUUCUGGCUGUGACUGAAAUCUUUGCUUUAUAAAUUAUCGGCAGUCACAGGUUCAGUAGCUGCGUAACUCAGAGUAAAGCUACACCAAUAUUUUCUAUUUAAAAUGCUAUGUUGGAAUUUUAGUUCUUUCACUAAGAAUAGCAAAGACCUUUUCUUUGGUAGCUCUAAGGAAUACGCUAAAUUCAAAAGCACCUGCUGAAAAUAAUCCAUGAUUGCAGCUCACAGGAGAUAAGAGUACCUGAUGUUUAGCUUUGCAACUCAUUCUCAAGAUCAAAAGCCCACAAUUCAUUUAUUUUUAAUAAAAGUAUGCUAGUUCUAUGGUUAAAUAUAUUAGUUAGUUAUACCAAUUAUUUUAAAUCCUCCUAACUGUGGUUGUUUGUAUUGUCAUCUCAAAAGCAACUACUAAUCUUAAUUACAAUUUUUUUUCUCUAUGCAAGGACUAAAUAUUUUAACCUAGCCCAUUGAUUUUAUUCAUCUCUAUUUACCUGUAAGUUAGAAAGUAACUUCCCAACUCAUAAAUGGAGCUGGUGCUAACAGUAUCCUUCAGGGUGUUAGAAGAAGAUAAACUAAUAAUUACUAGUUUCUUGGAAGUCUCUGGAGAACCAGCCAAAUUUAAAUGUGGUAAUUAGAGCCUAUAGCUAUAAUCUAC
rnacentral:lncRNA from 1 species